CGCACAUUGCGCCCCGUGGUAUUCCGCGGGGCAUGCCUGUUCGAGCGUCAUUUCACCACUCAAGCCUGGCUUGGUAUUGGGCGUCGCGAGUCCGCGCGCCUCAAAGUCUCCGGCUGAGCUGUCCGCCUCCCAGCGUUGUGAAUCUCAUUCGCUACGGAGCGCGAGCAGCCGCGGCCGUCAAACUCAUCUCAAGGUUGACCUCGGAUCAGGUAGGGAUACCCGCUGAACUUAA
rnacentral:misc_RNA from 1 species